CUGGCUUGCACCUUGUUGGGUUUUUUCAAAGGCAGAGGGGAGAUUCCUGGCGUGCAUCUGCUUAAUUUGAAGAAGAACAUCACCUGAUCACCUAUCUGUAAUCCACCUGCUUAAGUUCUGGUCAAGGGGCUCAUCGGCUAUCAAGUUAUAGAUUUCAGUGGCUAAUAGAAGACACUGCUGAGGUCAGAUGAGAGUGCAUCCUCAAAGGUCUGUGUGUACCUAAAUGAAGAUCCAGAGAAGCUGGUGAGGGAGUACAUGGACGUUGAUGAAUGUGCAGAAAUGGCCAAAGCCGAGGCUGUCCUCGGAAUCGUCAUUUGAGCAGAGG